UACGUAGGGUGCGAGCGUUGUCCGGAAUUAUUGGGCGUAAAGGGCUCGUAGGCGGUUUGUCGCGUCGGGAGUGAAAUCCACUGGCUUAACUGGUGGCUUGCUUUCGAUACGGGCAGACUGGAGGUAUGCAGGGGAGAACGGAAUUCCUGGUGUAGCGGUGAAAUACGCAGAUAUCAGGAGGAACACCGGUGGCGAAGACGGUUCUCUGGGCAUGUCCUGACGCUGAGGAGCGAAAGUGUGGGGAGCGAACAGG
rnacentral:rRNA from 1 species